rnacentral:tRNA from 1 species
GACCGCGUAGCUCAGUUGGCAGAGCGUUGGGCUGGUAUUCUAAAGGUUGUAGGUUCAAUUCCAACCGUGGCCA